AUUGAACGCUGGCGGCAUGCUUUACACAUGCAAGUCGAACGGUAACAGGCCGCCAGGUGCUGACGAGUGGCGCACGGGUGCGUAAUGCAUCGGAACGUGCCCAGUCGUGGGGGAUAACUACUCGAAAGAGUAGCUAAUACCGCAUACGAUCUAUGGAUGAAAGCGGGGGACCGUAAGGCCUCGCGCGAUUGGAGUGGCCGAUGUCAGAUUAGGUAGUUGGUGGGGCAAAGGCUCACCAAGCCAACGAUCUGUAGCUGGUCUGAGAGGACGACCAGCCACACUGGGACUGAGACACGGCCCAGACUCCUACGGGAGGCAGCAGUGGGGAAUUUUGGACAAAGGGCGCAAGCCCGAUCCAGCAAUGCCGCGUGCAGGAAGAAGGCCUUCGGGUUGUAAACUGCUUUUGUACGGAACGAAACGGCUCUGGUUAAUACCCGGGGCUAAUGACGGUACCGUAAGAAUAAGCACCGGCUAACUACGUG
rnacentral:rRNA from 1 species